rnacentral:rRNA from 1 species
CCUACGGGAGGCAGCAGUGGGGAAUAUUGGGCAAUGGGCGCAAGCCUGACCCAGCAACGCCGCGUGAAGGAAGAAGGCUUUCGGGUUGUAAACUUCUUUUAUCAGGGACGAAGCAAGUGACGGUACCUGAUGAAUAAGCCACGGCUAACUACGUGCCAGCAGCCGCGGUAAUACGUAGGUGGCAAGCGUUAUCCGGAUUUACUUGGUGUAAAGGGCGUGUAGGCGGGCAUGCAAGCCAGAAGUGAAAUCUGGGGGCUUAACCCCCAAACUGCUUUUGGAACUGCGUGUCUUGAGUGAUGGAGAGGCAGGCGGAAUUCCCAGUGUAGCGGUGAAAUGCGUAGAUAUUGGGAGGAACACCAGUGGCGAAGGCGGCCUGCUGGACAUUAACUGACGCUGAGGCGCGAAAGCGUGGGGAGCAAACAGGAUUAGAUACCCCGGUAGUC